rnacentral:sRNA from 1 species
GUCAGCACCCCGCUCUGAAGAGACGGGGCUUCAUGCCUCUCCUUUGGAUAGCUCGUACCCGCCUUAGCCUUAACUGGCUACGUUAUCGGGAAGCGUUAAAGUUCUUACCUUGGGAUGCGAAGCUAGUCCCAAGCUCUAAA